GAGCUGGUUUAGUUAUUCUGCGCUGGAGAGGAGGCUGCUCCUGGACAUGUAAUGACUUAAGUGACUACACUUGUGUGCGGGGCUGCCCAGUAGUGUAGGCACCUCACUGGAAAACUCCCAGCUCUUCUGCUGUAAUCCAAUGGUGCAGACUGGGAUGUGCUGGAGCGGAGCAGGCUCUGCUGUGCAAGACGUGGUGGCCUUUCUGCAAUACAGACUACUGAAUAUCCAACAGUCCGUGUUGUCCUUCCAGGGAAAACCCCGAUGUUUGGUUUUGCACCUCGCAGCUCUGCCCCUCAUCCCCCAGCUCUCCUGGCCCCGUCCUCUGCCACCGCCGUGACACCAAGAGCUUUACGGCCCGACAGGCAGCUGGAGCCCCAGGGGCACCGAAGGGACCUGUCCAGGAAGCGUGAGCAGCACCCCGAGAGACCCCAGCCCGGCCGCCCACCCACCUGCGUAGCGGAUGUAGGUCCACAGGACUUUGUCACUGCGAGGCUGAAAAAAAGGAAGAGAAAUCCUCGUUAACGCAGCGGGGCUAUCGCUUCUGCCACUUUCGCUUUUGUUUCCCCGCUGGGAGCGGGGCUAGCUAUACACCUUAUCCUAUUAGCGUCAUUAGGAUGAUAAAGUGCCACUUUAGAGUGCUUCCCAGCCAGUCCAACUUCCAGCUGGGUGCUGAGCACACCAGGGAGAUUUGGUCCCGCUUGGAAAAACAUCCAGGAGGCCCAAAUCUGCAGUCUCUUCACAACCACAAGACUUCAGCAUCAUGCCUGAUUAAAGAGUGAAAGUGACUGCAUCAGUUUCCCUGCAUCACUUACACAUGGUUUCCACAUCAUGUUUGCCUGUUUGGGUUUCCUGAACAUGAGAUUUGGUGCGGCGGCUGCCAAAGACCUCCUGUUAAGGACACUGCUCCUAGCGCGCUAUGUCACGGCAGAAGUUUUAGGAUUAGAAAAGCCCAUACAAAAGUUUACAGGCCAGCAGAGAACGGGUGGAACACGAGCUCUUACCGUCGAGAGUUGCAGAGAGUCUAGACCAAGAUAAACCACGCAGGCAAGCAGUAAUAUCCACUGAGCAGCCGCGGACACCAGCACCUUCCUGUUGCUUGGUCGUCUUGUGACAUUCAUGUGUGACACAGGGAGCUGAUGCAGCGUGCUGGGCAGUGCUGCUGCUCCUUUGGAGGACAGGAUCUUACCUGGAGACUGCGGGGUCCCUUGGGAGCAGCUUGGAUGCCAGUUUGUCCUGGUGCGUGCCAGGAAGCCUGGGAUGGGGUAAGGAAGAAGCACUUCAUCUCGCAGCCCUUCCAGACACAAAGCUUUGCUGCUGCCCCAGCCGUCCUGCACAGCCCGAGCUCAUCUCACAGGCAACAUCAGAGCACGUGGGGCAUGCUCACAGAAGUCUGAAUUGCCUAGAUGCAGCUGGAACGGACGGCUGAGAAGUUGCUAUUACAGCAGUCUCCUCGGUUUAAGCUUGUGCUUUGGGAGAGACGACAAGGGGUCUGUGUAUCCAAAAAGCAAGCAGCCCGUGGCUUUCUACAGAUGUCCCCUGAGGUUUUGAAGCACAUCUAAAGCAGGUUGCGUGGCUGACAUGACACAAGCCUGUAACACAGCAGCAGCAGCCGAUAUCUCCCAGCUCCCCGGCCCCGCGCAUCGCGCCGGGCAGGAGCCCGCGUGCACUCACAGCAGCAGCCCACGGACGCUGCGGAUGGCAGCACCCACAGCCAUCACGCGGCCGCACGUUUCGCUACGUGCUGGGCUCCACAGAUGAGUGCAUCCAGCAGCAGCAAGAGCCCCCGAUGACUAAUCCUGGCCGGAGCUGCUCUCUGUAUUACGCACCGCAGCGUUCGCUCCCCGGCGGGCUUGGACCGGGGACGGCGAGCCCUGCCCGCCCUGUGGUUGUCACCUCGCCAGCCCCCGGGGACACGGGCGGCCACGCAAGGGUUGUGGCAGUAUGAGAGCCGGGUAUGAGCCAUCUGCCCUGAGUGAUGGGGGUUUGCCUAUGACCCGUGAGUUGCUUUCCUCUUCACCCACCACUUUCACUGGUCCUUGCGUGGUAUUCAAACAGCGCUGUCUUGGGUUGUGCCUUUGGUGCCCUUGGACACAGGACCAUGGCGAAGCUUCAGGGCAGGUUCUGGGGGGCAGCUGGCAAGCAGGAGGCAAGCAGUAAGUCCCAAAAGGAUCCCACGAUAAGCCCCGUGUGCCUUUGGGCACCCUCUCCGUUUGCCGGGCAGGUGGGGACAGAGCCCCAUUCCUCAGGGCGGACGCAGUAACCCAGGGGGUGUAUCUGCCACCAGCGAUGUUGAAAGGCAUGACAAAUUUGUUGCUUUUCUGCUUCUUUCCAAUAGCAGCACCCUUUGGGACAGGUUCCUACACUGAUACUACGCCGACCAGCUGACUCCGCAAAACUACAAGAGCUGUGAGUUAUAACUCAGGAAUUUUGUGACAUCUUUUUCUUGUUUAAUUGCCUCUUUCAUAUCCAGCAUUCUAGGAUUCUUCUCAUUUUUCAGUCUAUGGAAUAUUUAAGACUUUAUUUUACUUCCUUCUGCAACAGAUCACUCAGACCUCAGCAGGGAAGGAGUUUGCACCCUUAGGUGACCUUUUCCUACCAACACACUCAGCCCCUGCCAAGUUACAGCUGCAAAGGGGGCCUCAGCUGUCCGGAGCAUGUUCCCAGUGUACAAGGAGCCGGACUCCAGCCCCCGCAGCCCUUCCCUGCCUGCUGCCUUCCCCAUGGGUUCAGCUCCUGGCACUGCUUCCCCAAGCACAGCACCCUAAAUGCCAGGCCAGCUCUUCCAUGCUGGGAUUUAAUUCUUUCUGAUCCCCUUCCCUGCUGAAAAAAAAAAAAAUGUUUGUAUACAAAAAAUGGCUUAAAAAAAUACGUAUAUAUACAGCAGCUAAUCUUUGCCUUUCUGUCCCAACUCCUAGCAACCUCGAGUGCCACACGUGAAUGUGUCUAUUUUGAAACAUUUACAAGAAAAGUGGUUUCAAGCGAUGAAGACUUGUCUUAACAUGCUUAAACACGUCUAACCCAGGCUUUAGCAGGUCCUAACCUAGGCCCUUCUAGCAGGGUGCACCCCCAGCUGCUUUCCCACCUCCCCAACCCGUGCCUGCAGCUGCGCCCUCCUUCCCAGGGCAUCAGCCACUUUGUGCCCAACUGGGCCACCAGCAGCACCCCUCGCUCUGGCCCGAGGAAGAGAAAUCAGCUUUUCCCUCCAGGCUGCAGCAUCAGGAAGAGGCCAGGCAGUUGUGACACGGGGACAGCUGAGAGCUGUUCCUCGCCCCAGCUUCCCUGCCCACGCAGAGCAGGAGUGCCCCUCUGGGAGAAGCAGGUUUUCCUCCCCGGGGCAGCACGGUGCCAACCACAGCGCAGGAUGUCUUUCGCUCGCCGUCUCCCCGUGACUCAACUAGGUCAACUGAAGGCAGGCAGCGAGCGAGCGAGGAGGCAGCCGUGGUGCGAACGGGGGUUUCUCUGCCCUCAUAUGCCACGAGCUCGGGUCGAUUUAGGACACUUUCCAGCCCCGAUUCGAAGACGGGAGUGAUGGGAAAUCUGGCCGCGCUUGGGUCUGCUCUUGCUGGAGUUCCCCACGGGCCCCACCACCCCCAAGAGCCCUACUUGUGCUGUGAUGGGAGCGAGCCCGCAGGCUUGCCAGGAGGGCUGUGACAGAGGCAGCUCGGUGCAGGGGGUAAGUUGCCACCACCGCCAAGCUGAUGCGCCUCCUGGUGGCACAGGGGAGCGGGGAGGCACCCAUAAGGGCCCUUGCCGGGUCUGAGGAGCCACCAAAUCUCAACUGGUUCGUGCAGCACUUUGCCACCUCAAGGGCCAACAAUGCUCCCAGACAUUUUCCCACUUCCUCCACUAAUUCCUCUAUGUUUAGGUUUCUCUUGGCAGGCCUAACUGCGCUAAUGGAUAAAUAAUAUUUAAGGUUAUGACUAAGCAAUGGCAAUGUUGCUGCCAAAAAAUGUAGCGCUGGUUAGAGGUGUUGAUUAGUGAUGGAAAAUAAAGCCCCUGUGCCUUUAUGGGGCACCCACAGUUAUCUGCUGUUGUGAUGCACCAGCCCUGCCUGUGGGCUCUGCUUCCCCACGGUGACACUGGGACGUAGGGACACUUUUUAAGCCCAGUGUCCCUGAGCCGUUUCAUCUGGCCAGCAGGAGGGUUUGAGGAGCUCCCUUUUGAUCUGGUUUGCUUUCCAGUAUUUGUUUGAUACAUUUGUUUUUCUUUCAGAUAAACUGUAGAGAAAUCAGCACUUUUGCAGGAAAAAAAAACUUUUGCUAUUUGGUGGCUGAAAAAAAAAAUAUUAAAAAAAAAAAUCCCUGCGAAGUUCAGCUGAUAACACGGUGGAGUCAUCUGCGUAGUGCUGGGAGCGGGCGCAGUCAUGUCUCUCCACCCAGCGAUAUCAUCAAUACUGCUAUGACUUGUGCAGAAUAUAGGAUGGAAAAAACCAAAAGUGCUAGGGUUGGCUGGAAAUUUUCAGAUGGAGUGUGUGUCUGCAGGCAAGGCCAUCGCCAGCCGGCAGCCCGGCGUGACCGGCAGCCCUAACCACACAGCGGCCCCUGGCUGAGAGCCACACUUGGGUGCAAAAACUCCCCUGGCAGUCAGAGAAAGCCCUGGCCCCGGCACAGCAGCCCUCGGGUGGGGAAAGCGGAGGCAGAGGGGCUGCUCCAGCCUCUGUCGGGGAGAUGGAGGGGUCUGCCCUGCUGGGACAGGGGCUCAGGGCUGCCUGAGCGGCUGGCACCCCAGCAGGUGCUGGCUGGUCCCUGCCAUCCAGCAGGGGUGGUUGGUGCUGGGCUGCUGGCGUUUCUUCACCCCAUGCAGAGCCUCUGUAGGCUUUUAAUAACUCAGUAUGGGUGUAGUUAAACACGGGGGAAGAACAGGCUGCUUACUUUGUUAGGGUGGUGGUUGUGUUUGUGGGGGAUGCCGGUCCCUCUGUCUCUGUGCUGGGUCUGCCCAGAGCCCUAGGGGGUGAAACAGGCUGCUUUCCCUGCAGAGCAGCGCUGACACGCUGAGUGGAAGCAGGGAGGGAUUUGCCACAGAGCCCAAAGCCCAAAAUUUGCCACACAGCCCUGCGGCUGGACUGCUGUGGCUGAGGAAGCCGCGGGAGCGAGCCUGGCGAGCUGUGUCCAUCCAUCUGCAUGGAGCCCCUGCCCCCUUCCCUCCCCUCCGCUGCUCACUUCCACACCUCCCUCGCACUUCUGUUCAAGUUCAUGCCUUCUGGUCUCAAAAUACCUCUUGGCAAGCCUCUGGUUACCAUUUAAUCCAGCAGCAGGUUAUUUGAAGUGAAAUGUGCUGCUCGCUGCCACAAAACACGACCUGCAUUUGGGAAGCCCUGGCCAAGGGAGGGCUGGGCGCGCACGCAGGCUGCCCAUCCACGGCUUUUCCCAGCCCAAAUCCAGCCCCACCUCUGGUGGCUGCCUCGCUGCAGAGGUGCGAUCUGGCCGUGAGGGAAGGAAAGAAACCUUUAAGUUGGCUUUAAGACUUGCGGAUGUGCAGAAACUGCUGGAGGAAGGUGCUGUGCGGGAGCCAGCUCGUCGUGCAGCCGCUGCGCUCGGCCACUUCCACGCGCUGCCACUCAGCACCGAGCCCCGCGGCCCAGCUGGCACCGACUGCAGAGGCAAACGAGUUCAAACAGCUCAGGUUCCCCGCGGGUUCCUGCAACACGAAUUCCUCGGAGUUACUGGAUCCUGACUUCCUCUGGGACUCGUGCUCUCAUUUACAGCAUGCGAGCUGGCCAAGAGAGGAUGAGCUAAAGGAAGCGAACUCGCGGCAUGGCAGCAGAGGGACGGCGACGGCCCUGUUGUGCACCCAGCCAGUGUGCUCAGCAUCUUCAGGAGGUCAGCAAAAGAGCUCCGAGUGCAGCUGGAGCAGCUGCCCUUUCCAGCUCGUGUCCUGUGUUCCUGAAAGCAGUGCCAUGUUCCCAUUCUGACUAUUUACACAUGUCGUGAGGGCCUUACCAGAAGUGAGGGACUGCAGGCUGCCCCGCAUCAUUGUGAUGAAAUCCUGCCUCUUAUCAGGCUUGCAUGUGGGUUACUUUCCUUCCUUGCCAAGAUCCCCACCACAAAAUACAUCUUGCCUUUGCAGCUGUUUUGGAGAGUCAAAAAAAAAUGGGCCAUUAACCUUUCUGUGCUUUUUUUUUUUUUUUUUAAUGGAAAUCACCUGCAAACACGUCAGCUGCGGCGCACAGCAUGGGCUUCGGAGCAGGCACUGCACGCUGUGCUGAUGACUGGGGGCUGAGCGCGACCUCGGCUGGGCCAGCCGGGGGCCGCGGCCUCAGGUCUCUGCUCCACGGUGGUCUGACUCACCGGGCAAGUGCUCUGAGAAAAAAAAAACUCCAGGGAGAUGCACUCAGAGAUCAAGAUCUCAAUUACCCAGACCACCCCAUCCUCUCUGGUUGUUUUUUUGUUUUUUUUUUUUGUUUUUUUUUUUCCACAGAUGUAAUUUCCUGGCCCAGUCCCCAAGAAGGGAAAAGCAGCACCCUUGUGCUGAGCGAGACCCCACCUGGGUGAGCUCCGAGCCGGGACCACCGGGACCAGGCCACGCAGCAGCCUCUGAGCUCAAGGAGCAGCGAGCGGGCUUCUGGCCGGUGAGCCCUGGAGGGAAUCGGGCUCGAGGCUGAGGUGCUUUAAAUAGGAAAGUCACUUCUGAAGCGAGCAGAAAAACCGCAGAUAGGGACAGCGCAAAGAUGUGGCUAAACUGCUGAGGAAUUCCCCCGACAGAGUGCGCCGCGGCAGCGGCCCCAGCGCGCCCCAGCUGCUGCCUCCCCGGCCCCACGCCGCCACCACCACGGAGCUGCCGAGGCCCUGGGGGAUUUCUGCGAGGGACAGAGCAACGUGCGGGGACACCGGACCUCCCACAGCACACGGCGCCGUGGCUCCCAGCGCUCUGCAUAAUGACGGUGCUGGCCCAGUUUUUGCUGCUGAGGCGAGCAGAUUUUCAAGAACCAGCUCAUCCCUGGAGCACCACGGCGGAGCGGAUCUGGGACACGGACAUCUUGGCCUCUUCAAUCCCAAAGCUACAAACACUUCCACCACAUGCACACCAAGCCCUCGGGAGCUCAGGACACCAGACUGGGUGAGCCCUGACACCAACCCCGCUGUAGGGCAACCCCAGGCUGAGCAACAGCCUGCGAAACGCAGCGCCUUCAGCGCGGCAGCACCCAGAGUGAGCGCUCGGCAUCGCCAGCUGGAAGAUGGAUGCUGAAGACAGCAGGGCUACACCAGCUGUUUUGGAAACAGGACGCCUCCACCCGGGUACAGUACAAGCUCUGUUUGAAUGCGUCAGCGGUGCUGGCUUUCGCAGCAGGCGGGAGUGAAACUGAGAAAGCUGAAGUGGAGGGAUAACACAGCCAGUGCAUGAACAGCCCUGGGACACACGGCUCAGCCGUGUGUGGGGGUGUGGGGACAAGCAGCGAGCGGCACCUCCUCACCCUUUACACAUAGGGCAGGGAAGGGAGCAGUACCAGGACAGUGCUGGCAGGAUGAGGGCUGCCAGGCUUUGUGGUGUCUGCUGCCUGCAGUGGCCACACAAGGCAGCCACCCUCCCCGUGUGCUCACAAACCCCAUGGAAAGCCAAAGAGCCCAGCUCAGGCUGGAGGGAGUCACACAGAGCCACCUCCAUCUCAGGAUAGCCCACUAAAUCCAAAACCCUAACCCCUCGUGUUACGACUGGAUGAGGAUGGAGGUGAGCGUUACUCAGCUUAAUUUCCUACAGAGCUUUAAGAGAACAAUGAAUAACAAAACACAAAACCAAACUUGGAGCAGUCUUCUGGUGAGUAUUUUGGAGAAGGUGAGAGCUGAGGUAAAAACAAAGCAGGCUGAUCUGCCUUGUGAUUUCUUUCUGAUGGGAAAAUAGCAUUUUAGUGAGAAAUGAAAGUUUCAGUGGAAAAUGUCUGAAAUUUUGCUUUUCCCUAGAGCAACGCAGGAGUAUCCGCUAUCAUCAGCAUUUCAUAUAGUUUAAUAACAAAAUAAAAAUAUCUGAGAAGCCGGUCUGUAGUUCACAGCAGGGCUUGGGGCCAAACCCUUACAGAAUAACACCCAGGGGUGGCUCUGCCAAGCCCAGGCUGGAGCUCCUGAGCUAUAAAUCAAAUUGUCUGGGAGACUGCUUCCCAAAUUGUACUGCUGCAGUCCAGCAGGCAAACAGGAAGCCCUAAACCAGGCUUUUCUACCAUCACCUGCAGCAGGAUGACAGUUCUGAAAUCUGCUGGGGAAGCCUGCUCAGCCAGGCUCGAGGCAGCAAGGGCUGGGGGAAUUUGGAAGGAUGAGGGAAGGGGCCACAGCCCCAGGACUUGCACGGGGACAAGGCUGCUGCAUGCCAGAAUGAGGGCUAAACAGUGCCAGAGGGCUGAAGGAGGCUACAGGCUGCUCCGUGGCAAGGCCAGCAGCCCUUCCUGCGAGAUGAAAGCAGCCCCAGCUCCUUCUCUUUCUUCUUAUCAAAGUGGAGUUUCAGAAGUGGCGUGUCAUUGCACAGAAACAGCUAUCUGAUUCCGGGCGCAUUUAAAUUGAACAAAGACAUAGCAAAACCCACCAACGGGAAACUGGUUUCAGAAAUUCAAAUGGAAACAAUACUUCUUUUUUUUUUCUUUUUAAUGAUAACCAGCCUUUACAACCCAUACCAUCAAGGCGGUUAUUAAACUGAUACUUGCCACCUUCAGUGAUGAUUUUGGCUGGCGCCAAGCAGCACCGCAGCGAGGGAGCGGCGCGAGCCACCGAGCAUCCUCCCAGCCAGCUUUCAGCCCUCCUCCAGCCCCAGCAGCAAGGGCUGGGCACAGGGCAGACACCGCAGCGCUGGUUUCCAUUUCCUGCUGCAUGCUGUACCCCCCCUGCUAUUGCAAGAAGGUCAGUGCUCCAACGAGACCCAGGAGCAGCUCGUACCACUCAAACACACGGCCCUUUUACUGAAACUGCCCCCAGGCAGAACAAAUCCAAGCCUCCAAGGCUUCACAUGAGCAUCCUCAGGCUCAGGAUAACCUGUGAGCAUGAAAACCCCAGCAGCCAGAUGCUAUCUAGAGACAAAAACUCAUUUCCUGGCAAGAAAUGAAUCUAAAGUUCUGUAAAAAGAGACCUUCACUUGGAUGAGGCAUUUCUCAGUGAAAAAAUUAUUCUUAUAAGUGGAUGGGAAAUACGUGUAACUCAAUGCUGCCUCAGCCUUUCAUGAGUAUAUAAAAAAGGGAGGGGGAACUCAGCCAUCUGAUUGGGACCUCUGACCAUAAUCAAACAAUUUGACUGACCACUAUCAAAGGUUGAACUUUAAUCUGGAGAAAAGAAGGCUCCAGGGAGCGCUUACAGCAGCCAGCCAGCACCUGAAGGUGGGCCUGCAGGGAAGCUGGGUGGGCUCUUUGUCAGGGCAUGUAGCAAAUAAAAGGAAUAAUGGUUCUAGAUUAAAAGACGGCAGAUUUAGAUUAGUAAAGAACUUCUUCCUUAUAUCUGUGAGGGCGGGGAGGCACUGGCACAGGCUGCCCAGGGAAGUUGUGGGUUCCCCAUCCCUGGAGGUGUUCAAGACCAGGCUGGAUGGGACUCACGUUUUUAGGCUACAGCCACAGCUACACUUGAAGGUUUUAGCUGCAGAAACUGAGGCAGGCUGGUGAACUCUCCUCCUGCCAACCACACACACCAGCAACCACACCAGUGAAGAAAGGCAACGCCACAACAAACCCUUUGGCUCUCAGAAGUGAUUUCCCUCCAGGAACCAGUUGAAAUCAUGCUGCAGAAGGCAUCUUCUAGCAACAGGCACCAUGCCUCCUGCUGGGAAGAGAGCUUCAUCAUCCUUCUGCUACUGCACUACCUGCAAAUCCUUCUGCACAUCAUUUUAAGACACACCUGUCACCACUCCCAAGUCCCUGCCAGGGAACAGGCACCACCACCCCUCUCCAGUUCUGAGAAAGCAGCUGCAGAAAGACAGCCCCUCCUCUACGGAGGCUUUCUUUGAAGACGUCCAUCUGCAGCAAUCGGUCACACACUUCCUUCCACACCCAGAGCAUAAAAUGAGGUUUCCCUUCGUUACUGGUUUGUCUGGACAGCAGAGCAUUUCUGCAACCCUAUUUUGGGACUCCGGGCAUUCACAGCACAGUUUCUUAGAAAUGCCAGCGGUCUCAUUUCCUCCUUUUUCCCUUUGCCAGUCAUCUCCCAAGCAUGCCCAAGCACAAGGAAGGUGGUAGGAAGCCAGUUAAAGUUUUCUCUACUGAGAAACCAGGACCUGCAUUUUUAGGCACUGCUGGCAGAGUUUCUGUCCCUCAGAGGAGUUCCUCUUUGCAUCAGGCCCAAGCCCAGCUUUUCACAGCCAGGGGAUUCUGAGCCAAAGCUCGGGCAACAACUGAGAGCCCUCAGCUGCACGAGAAGAGGGGAAGGGCUGUGCUGUGAGAGGCUAAGGGAAAGGCAAUGUGGUGUGUGUUUGAUAGCAAGUGUCAUGCUUCAUGUUUCUGCUCUGAACCAACAACGAGAAACAUCUUCCCUGGUUGCACAUCUCAGGAGCAACACAGUUUAACUAUUUAGGGUGUUGCAGAGGGACACGUUCACAUUUAUAGGUUCCUCCUCAGCACCAAGCUGACCCAAGGUCAGACUUCAGGCAGGUCUGGCAGCCUGAACUGUAUGGAAAAGAAAGAUUUUCUUUCUGCAUUCUGUUCUCCCAGGGGCAUGGGCCACAUCCUGAGAUCAGACAGCCAUCCUUACCCAAAGCUCGUAACAUGAAUGGAACCAGGUGAACCUCUCAAGCUCCACCAGCCCCGGCUCCUUCCCUUCUUCAUGUGGCAUCUGAGAGCUUUCUAGUGCAAAUCUGAAAAUCCAUCAGAAGUUGUUGAGUGGCAACUUCCAGUACGUUGCUCCGUUCCUACUGGAUUAUAAAUGCAGGCUGUAAUAUUCCAAUAUUAGAGCACGUUCAGUGGAGGCUAUCAAGAUGGUCUGGGCUAGAGCACACAGCUUAGGAGAAGCUGAGAGCAACUGGUUUGUUCAGCCUGGGGAGAAGGCAGAAGGGAGAUUGCGCUGCCACCUGCAAUGCUCUGACAGGGAGCUACAAGGAGAGCACAGGAAGAGCUGGGAGGCAGCAGGCACAGGAACAACGUGACGUUCUGGUGAGAUGCAAUGAAAACCUUCACCGUGAGCACAGCCACUGCAUGUUCCAACACCAUGGGACAGAAGUACCACGCUUUUGUGCACAUCUGGAGACAGGAGCUCUAAUUUUAAGGUUAGCCCUUUAUUUCAGCAGCAGGUGAACAACAACCCCCAGGUGUCCCUUCCACCUGCCCCAGAAGUCUAUGAAGCACCGCUUCUCACAGGGCCUCACAUUUUAUGGGAAAGUGCAUUGAGAACAUGAGCCUCUCAGCCUUCCCACCUGUGAAAUGGGGCUGACAGGAUUUCCUUAUUCAAGCCUCUGCUGUGCAGUAGGUGUCCUGGUUAACCCACUUUCUUCAGUGUGGAAUUGAUGGCUCAGCUCUUCAGAACAAGAGGCUCCGUCUGCGGAGCUUUCCUCCUAGCACAUACAAACAGAAGAGAGCGGCACUGCUUGUGCCAUACCCAGUGUUGUGUUUCAGAACUCACUUGUGAUACUGUCAGAGGCUGCGUGCUUCCUUCACAUCUGAAAUCCUGAGAGCUGCCCCAAAGUUUCUAGCAAACAAACUGAACGCUUUCAUUUUACACCAGAAACAUAACAAUUAUCUGGGAAAUCCCCCUCCCACACCUCGGAGUCCAUACUUUGGGUGACUUGCUGAUCUCGCCAUAUACAGUUAUUUAGGUUCAAUGUUGCUUUCAAGAACUGUCAUGUAAAAGCCACUGGGGUCAACUUUUAAGAUGAGCAUAUAUAGCAAUUCAGAGUGAGCCCUUAAAUAAGAAAAUAGCAGUUGGGAGCAGGGGGGCAGAAGAAGCCUUCAUUCUCCACCCUCCUGUUACCCUCUUGCUUAACUCCACAGGGCCAUACCUCAAGAAAAGUGACCUAAGUAUACAGCUGCUCUCAUCCUGCCAGGCCCUGCUGUAGUUCUUUGCUGUUGCCUUUCCCAGCUUCCAUAGUCCUCAAGUGGUUUUCUCACGACGGGAGCCACUGAUAUCUGUGUAGGCAGAGCAAAAGGCUGUGCCGAGCUCCACAGCACAUCCCUCGAAACAAUGCAGCAACAGCUGCACAGCUCCUGGCAACCCUGGCCCAACAGAAAGUCAGAUGGGUCAUGAAAGAAAAUUAUAAAAGGAUAACUGAGAAGAAACAUCAGGGGCAGGCACAGUCCUCAGUUCUCAGGGUUGCAGUAAAGAAAAACUGCAUAGGAAAAGGGAAAGAUUACAGCUCUCCCAUCCAAAUACUUCCCAGGAGAAAAUAAGAAGGGAGUGGAGGCAAUCACAAGCUUCCUUUCAUAAUCUUCCAGAGGAAUCGGCAUCAGUUCCACUGUCUGAAUGGCGCAACAGGGACAAAGAACCAAGUCAUCCAAGGUACCCAUACAGCUGUGGUUAAGACAAACAAAUUAACUCAUAAUGCCUAACAUCUUAAGAAGCCUGUUCCCUUCAGCAUCUGAGGAGCACCCAGCUGACUCAGGAAGAUGGUGAUGCACCUGAAACACCACAGGUGAAUUUCCUCUUCUACGUGCUGAUCUGGCCUGCUCCCCAGCAAAAUUAAGAGUGAAAUUGCUGUCCCACCUCAGGAUGAUCACCCUUUGCUGGGGUGGCUAAAUCAUCAGCUGUCCUGACAGACAGCAAGCACGUCUUGUCAUAGGUCCAGGUCCAGGCAACUCCUAAAGCAUUUGAACACCACUACUCCAGGACAGGGAUGGGACAAGGACUAGACUGACAGGAGAAGCAUUACUCACAACCUUGGCUUUACUGCAUAUUUGUAACUGGUGAGAUCCCCAAAACAGCCAGCGUGCACCUUUUGUGUUUUGUGAUGCAGAACAGUUCUAAGAGACAGACCAGAAAAGACUCCCUUUUUGCCCUGUUUAUGUGGAGUUUCUAAUCAGAAGCCCCCCUGGUAUAAGAGAGCUAAUAUCACCUUACACCAUUCCCACCUUCGGUUCCCAACAGCCCGCCCUGUUUCCACCUGAAUGGAACAGAUCCCACCAGCUGCAACAGAAGUUAGACUGGGCUCCUGGAGACAGAGCUCAGAAGGGAAGGUGAGGAGACAGGUAUGUCAUGCUCCCAAAGAACACACAAGCACCUUCUUUAACACCAACUCUUUUCACCCUCACAUUUAUUUUUCUUUAUUUAAAAAAAAAAAAAAAAAAAAAAAAAGUCUUUGCAAACAAGUCUCUUGUUCCUCCUUUCCAACUCAGUGGGAUUGCUGCAAGCAUUCCACGGCACACGACUCUUGGGAAGCAGAGAAAGUGCACCACAA